rnacentral:rRNA from 1 species
UCGAGAAUUUUUCUCAAUGGGGGAAACCCUGAAGGAGCGACGCCGCGUGGAGGAUGAAGGUCUUCGGAUUGUAAACUCCUGUCAUUAGGGAACAAUGUGCGGUUAUUAACUGUAAUCGUAUUGAUAGUACCUGAAGAGGAAGAGACGGCUAACUCUGUGCCAGCAGCCGCGGUAAUACAGAGGUCUCAAGCGUUGUUCGGAUUCAUUGGGCGUAAAGGGUGCGUAGGUGGCGCCAUAAGUCAGGUGUGAAAUCUCGGGGCUCAACCCCGAAACUGCACUUGAUACUGUGGUGCUCGAGUACUGGAGAGGAGAUUGGAAUUUACGGUGUAGCAGUGAAAUGCGUAGAUAUCGUAAGGAAGACCAGUGGCGAAGGCGAAUCUCUGGACAGUUACUGACACUGAGGCACGAAGGCCAGGGGAGCAAACG